rnacentral:misc_RNA from 1 species
UCCCAUUUAUUGUGGGCAGUUUUUGCAUUUUUCUUUAAUUGCUUAGAUUGGCGAUGCAAAUGCAAGUUGAGGUUGCGCUCGUUAAGGGACUUAACCAAACAUCUUACGACACGAGCUGACGACAGCCAUGCAACACCUGUGAUGACUUAAAAAAUCAAUUAUUUUAUAGACUUUCUUUGCAGAAAAAAAUCACCAUAUCAAGAACUGGUAAGGUUAGGCGCGUAGUAUCGCAUUAAACCACAUGUUCCACCACUUGUAUAGACCCCCGUCAAUUCCUUUGAGUUUCAACCUUGCGGUCAUACUUCUCCGGCGGGGUGCUUCACGCGUUCGCUUUUUCUGAAUAAAUACAUUUUUAUCCCUUAGCACCCAGAUUUUAGGGUGUGGACUAC